GAAAUGCGAUAAGUAAUGUGAAUUGCAGAAUUCAGUGAAUCAUCGAAUCUUUGAACGCACAUUGCGCCCUCUGGUAUUCCGGGGGGCAUGCCUGUUCGAGCGUCAUUACAACCCUCAAGCUCUGCUUGGUAUUGAACCUGACCUGCCAGAGGCGAGUUCUAAAAUCAGUGGCGGUGCUAUCCAGCUCCUAGCGUAGUAAUUUUCUCGCUGUGGACACUGGAUAUCCACUUGCCAGUAACCCUAAAUAUUCAAAGGUUGACCUCGGAUCAGGUAGGGAUACCCGCUGAACUUAA
rnacentral:misc_RNA from 1 species